AGUGAACGCUGGCGGCAUGCCUAACACAUGCAAGUCGAACGAGUUUCAGCAGAGCACCGCUGGAGCUAGUGGCAGACGGGUGAGUAAUACGUGAACAAUCUUCCUUUGAGCGGGGGAUAACCUUGGGAAACCAGGGCUAAUACCGCGUAAGACCACGUCCCGACAUCGGGAUGAGGCCAAAGCUCCGUAAGGGGCGCUUGAAGAGGAGUUCACGGCCUAUCAGCNGUUGGUGAGGUAACGGCUCACCAAGGCUACGACGGGUAGGCGGUCUGAAAGGACGACCGCCCACAAUGGCACUGAGACACGGGCCAUACUCCUACGGGAGGCAGCAGUGGGGAAUUUUGCGCAAUGGGGGGAAACCCUGACGCAGCGAUGCCGCGUGGAGGACGAAGGUCUCGGAUUGUAAACUCCUUUUGCGGGGAAAAUGUCUGCGUGAAGAACGUAGAUUGAUGGUACUCCGCGAAUAAGCCACGGCUAACUUCGUGCCAGCAGCCGCAGUAAC
rnacentral:rRNA from 1 species